rnacentral:rRNA from 1 species
AUACGUAGGGGGCGAGCGUUGUCCGGAAUGAUUGGGCGUAAAGGGCGCGUAGGCGGCCUGUUAAGUCUGGAGUGAAAGUCCUGUUUUCAAGAUGGGAAUUGCUUUGGAUACUGAUGGGCUUGAGUGCAGGAGAGGUAAGUGGAAUUCCCAGUGUAGCGGUGAAAUGCGUAGAGAUUGGGAGGAACACCAGUGGCGAAGGCGACUUACUGGACUGUAACUGACGCUGAGGCGCGAAAGUGUGGGGAGCAAACAGGAUUAGAUACCCUGGUAGUCCACACUGUAAACGAUGAAUGCUAGGUGUAGGGGGUAUCGACCCCUUCUGUGCCGCAGUCAACACAAUAAGCAUUCCGCCUGGGGAGUACGGCCGCAAGGUUGAAACUCAAAGGAAUUGACGGGG